rnacentral:rRNA from 1 species
UAAUACGUAGGGUGCGAGCGUUAAUCGGAAUUACUGGGCGUAAAGCGUGCGCAGGUGGCGACAUAAGACAGAUGUGAAAUCCCCGGGCUCAACCUGGGAACUGCGUUUGUGACUGUGUUGCUAGAGUGUAGCAGAGGGGGGUGGAAUUCCACGUGUAGCAGUGAAAUGCGUAGAGAUGUGGAGGAACACCGAUGGCGAAGGCAGCCCCCUGGGUUAACACUGACGCUCAUGCACGAAAGCGUGGGGAGCAAACAGGAUUAGAUACCCUGGUAGUCCACGCCCUAAACGAUGCCAACUAGGUGUUGGGGGAGGAGACUUCCUUAGUACCGUAGCUAACGCGUGAAGUUGGCCGCCUGGGGAGUACGGUCGCAAGAUUAAAACUCAAAUGAAUUGACGG